ACUACGGGAGGCAGCAGUGGGGAAUAUUGGGCAAUGGAGGCAACUCUGACCCAGCAAUGCCGCGUGAGUGAUGAAGGUAAUUUUAUUGUAAAGCUCUUUUCUUUGGAACGAAUAAAUGACGGUACCAAAGGAAUAAGCCCCGGCUAACUACGUGCCAGCAGCCGCGGUUAUACGUAGGGUGCAAUCGUUGUUCGGACUGACUGGGCGUAAAGGGUGUGUAGGUGGUUUGAUAAGUUAGAUGUGUAAUACCCAGGGCUUAACGCGGGUGCUGCAUCUAAAACUGUUAGACUUGAGUGCUGGAGAGGAUAGUGGAAUGCCUAGGGUAGCGGUGGAAUGCGUAGAUAUUAGGAGGAACAUCAGUGGCGAAGGCGACUAUCUGGACAGCAACUGACACUGAGGCACGAAAGCGUGGGGAGCAAACAGGAUCAGAUACCCUAGUAGUC
rnacentral:rRNA from 1 species